UUAUGGGGUAGCAGAACGUUGGGUAAAUAACACGGUUUAUUGUUUUUAACAAUAAAUAUAAGAUAACCCAAGUGAUAAUGCUGACAUGAGUAACGAAAAAGGGGUUAUACCCUCGCCUAAAGCUUAUGGUAUUUUAAAAUAAGUAACGGCCUCUAAGUUUACCAACCUAAAGGAUUAAACGAUGAGAAAAUCUUUUAGUUACUUAGUAACAACCUUCCUUCUUAUGUAACCAAGUCACCUUGCGAGGGGUUUGCUUGGAAAUAUUAUUGCCAAGUACCGGCGGAAGGCGGGCAUAAGAAAAGUUGAGGGAGGUUCUGGAAAAAACAGUGACAAACCUGCUUCCGGUAGUACGGAAGAAAGGGGGGAAAACAAAACCGUACCUAAAUACCACCUCAGGUAAGCUAGUAGAGAAUACGAAGGCGUUUGAGUGAACAAUCAUUAAGGAACUCGGCAAACUAACUACCGUAACUUCGGAAUAAGGAGUGCCAUUCCUCUUCAUUAAUAUGAGGUAAAGAAUAGGAAGCAUGGAAUAGUGUUGUACGACUAGUUUAAUUAAAACAAAGCACUUCGCAAUAAGAUAAUAAAUCAAAGUAUUGAGUGUGAAUUCUGCCCGAUGUCGGCCGGUUAACGGAUUUACUAAGUUGACUAAUAUAAGCUUGGUUUUGAAGGAAACCCCGAUCAAUGGCGGUCUUACCUAUGAGGAUCCUAAGGUAGCGGAAUACCUUGGCCGUUAAAUGCGGUCUUGCAUGAAUGAUUUAACGAUACAACAGCUGUCUCAAUGAUUGGCUCAGUGAAAUUGGAAUGACAGUGCAGAUACUGUUUAUCUCUAGAUAGACGAGAAGACCCUAUGCAGCUUUACUGUUACUAGUUAUUAGAUAUGAUAAACAGCAUUUUUAGUGCAUAAGGUAGGUGCGCGGAGGUUUCAUUGGAUUCUUCUGUCACCCAAAUUGAAACACCUUUAUUUAGUUUUUCAUAUUGGUAAAUAUAUUUUACGUGAAAAAUCCAAUAUGGGUCUUUCAUUUCCAGAGGAACGAUGACUAGGAGGCAGUUUAUGCGG
rnacentral:ncRNA from 1 species